rnacentral:hammerhead_ribozyme from 1 species
GUCAGCUGACGAGUUUCGAAUAAGACGAAACGCGCGUACUGGAU